rnacentral:rRNA from 1 species
AAGUCAGUGGCAGACGGGUGAGUAACACGUGGGAACGUGCCCUUCGGUUCGGAAUAACUCAGGGAAACUUGAGCUAAUACCGGAUACGCCCUUUUGGGGAAAGGUUNACUGCCGAAGGAUCGGCCCGCGUCUGAUUAGCUUGUUGGUGGGGUAACGGCCUACCAAGGCGACGAUCAGUAGCUGGUCUGAGAGGAUGAUCAGCCACACUGGGACUGAGACACGGCCCAGACUCCUACGGGAGGCAGCAGUGGGGAAUAUUGGACAAUGGGCGCAAGCCUGAUCCAGCCAUGCCGCGUGAGUGAUGAAGGCCUUAGGGUUGUAAAGCUCUUUUGUCCGGGACGAUAAUGACGGUACCGGAAGAAUAAGCCCCGGCUA